rnacentral:rRNA from 1 species
CCUACGGGAGGCAGCAGUGGGGAAUAUUGCACAAUGGGGGAAACCCUGAUGCAGCGACGCCGCGUGAGUGAAGAAGUAAUUCGUUAUGUAAAGCUCUAUCAGCAGGGAAGAAAAUGACGGUACCUGAGUAAGAAGCCCCGGCUAACUACGUACCAGCAGCCGCGGUAAUACGUAGGGGGCAAGCGUUAUCCGGAUUUACUGGGUGGAAAGGGAGCGUAGACGGCAGGGCAAGUCUGGAGUGAAAGGCGGGGGCUCAACCCCCGGACUGCUCUGGAAACUGUACGGCUGGAGUGCAGGAGAGGUAAGUGGAAUUCCUAGUGUAGCGGUGAAAUGCGUAGAUAUUAGGAGGAACACCAGUGGCGAAGGCGGCUUACUGGACUGUAACUGACGUUGAGGCUCGAAAGCGUGGGGAGCAAACAGGAUUAGAUACCCGUGUAGUC